rnacentral:tRNA from 6 species
GGUCCCAUCGUCUAGCCUGGCCUAGGACGGAGCCCUCUCAAGGCUCAGACACGGGUUCAAAUCCCGUUGGGACCACCA